UUUUUUUUAGCUUAAGUUUUAGAGCAUUAGUUUGAAGGACUAGGGGUACUGUCAAAGUGAAGGAGU
rnacentral:tRNA from 1 species